GACGAACGCUGGCGGCGGGCUUAACACAUGCAAGUCGAACGGUGAAGCGCCUGCCUUUUUGGUGGGUGUGGAUGAGUGGCGAACGGGUGAGUAACACGUGAGUAACCUGCCCCCUUCUUCUGGAUAACCGCAUGAAAGUGUGGCUAAUACGGGAUAUUCUGGGUCUGUCGCAUGAUGGGUCUGGGAAAGAUAUUGUUUCGGUGGGGGAUGGGCUCGCGGCCUAUCAGCUUGUUGGUGGGGUGAUAGCCUAGCAAGGCGGUGACGGUGACCCGGCCUGAGAGGGUGGACGGUCUCACUGGAGAUGAGACACGGCCCAGACUCCUACGGGAGGCAGCAGUAGGGAAUAUUGGACAAUGGGCGCAAGACUGAUGCAGCGUCGACGAGUGAGGGAUGGAGGCAUUCGGGUUGUGAAACUCUUUCGCCAGUGAAGCAGGCCUGCCUCGUUUGUGGGUGGGUUGACGGUAGCUGGAUAAGAAGCGCCGGCUAACUACGUG
rnacentral:rRNA from 1 species